GACGAACCGAGCGAACGUUGUUCGGAAUCACUGGGCUUAAAGGGCGCGUAGGCGGCCUGGUCAGUCAGGGGUGAAAUCUUUCGGCUCAACCGGAAAAGUGCCUUUGAUACUGCCAGGCUUGAGGGAGAUAGGGGCGUGUGGAACUUCCAGUGGAGCGGUGAAAUGCGUUGAUAUUGGAAGGAACGCCGGUGGCGAAAGCGACACGCUGGGUCUCUUCUGACGCUGAGGCGCGAAAGCUAGGGGAGCGAACGGG
rnacentral:rRNA from 1 species